rnacentral:lncRNA from 1 species
CUAGUGUCCUCGCGAAGGGUGCGGAGCUCCCUAGCUCGCACUCGCAUACGCUCGCGCGCGCGUGGCGUGGGCGAUGAGGCGCACUUUGCACAUCGCCGCGAGCCGCUUGAGAGCAUCCUAUCUAUUUUUGACCGCGUACGCGUGGUGGAGCACAAGGGUUGCAAGGACCAAGUGGUAGGUGAUGCGGCGCAUGACGUGGCAGUCAUGCGCAUGCGCGCGCCAGUACACAUGGCACGGAGGCGCGCGGUUGCGCGCAUGGUGCAUGUGUCGUGCGCGGCGCACCAGAGUGAGCCAAUACGGCGCGACUGUGUGGGACAGGUGGACGCACCGCGCAUAGUGACGUGGCGCACGCGCGCAUGGACUUGAUCCAGUGUGGCGCAUGCGCGCAUGGCAGUGGGCCAAGAGGACGCACCGCGCAUGGCGUGCAGACCUGGGCGCGCGCGCACCAGGGUGACUUGCGCGCGCACGCACGCGCAGAAGC